UUGAACGCUGGCGGCAUGCUUUACACAUGCCAGUCGAACGGUAACAGGCCUUCGGGUGCUGACGAGUGGCGAACGGGUGAGUAAUGCAUCGGAACGUACCCAGAGGUGGGGGAUAACGCAGCGAAAGCUGUGCUAAUACCGCAUGUGAUCUGAGGAUGAAAGCGGGGGACCGAGCAGCAAUGUUUGGCCUCGCGCCUUUGGAGCGGCCGAUGUCGGAUUAGCUAGUUGGUGGGGUAAAGGCCUACCAAGGCGACGAUCCGUAGCUGGUCUGAGAGGACGACCAGCCACACUGGGACUGAGACACGGCCCAGAAUCCUACGGGAGGCAGCAGUGGGGAAUUUUGGACAAUGGGCGCAAGCCUGAUCCAGCAAUGCCGCGUGCGGGAAGAAGGCCUUCGGGUUGUAAACCGCUUUUGGCAGGAACGAAACGGUGUCCGCUAAUACCGGGCGCUAAUGACGGUACCUGCAGAAUAAGCACCGGCUAACUACGUG
rnacentral:rRNA from 1 species